UGAUAAAAGAAAAUAUUAUUGAAGCAUGAAACUGAUGACACCAAAACAGGUUAUAGACUGAGUUUUGAUGAUAAACUCUCUCACUGAAGAACUAGUCAGCUUGUCUACUUCAGUGGUAAUGGAAGAGACUCAAAAGUUAUUUCUCUAUUUUCAGUUCUCGUGGGAGGGAAUGCAAUCAGUGUUGGAAAGGAAGCAGAUCUUGAGAAUUAGGAUUUUGUGUAGCUAAAACAUUUAGUACAUCCAUUAUAAUACUGGUUGUUUUGGAAGUUGCAUUAGGAGCAGCUUCUAUGAAAUGCAGAUCUCACAAAUGGGGCUCUGAGGAUUGAAGUCUGGCAAAAGUGAACAGUUAUUGCAGAAGAGAGAGUUUAUAUGUCAGUGUGGAGAAGAAUCUAGAUCAAAUUCAUCCAAAGAUAUGGGAUUAGUACAGUUGCAAGAGAAUUUUUCUGCAGGGUAAACCUUUUUGUUCAUGUAGAUCAUUUUAAGAAUGGUUGGUUUGAAAGUUCCUUUGGAAGCAGUUUGUAGAAAUGAAGCUGAUCCUAAGAAUUGGUGUCCUUGUAAGGAAGAAGUGAAGCCAUAGAAGACGAGAACAAGAAAUAGCCGAUGCUGCAAAUGGAUAGAGGUCAAGUUGAUCAUCUGGAUGGUAAUGCUGUUUUUGUCUUCAGUGUGGAAAUAAGUAAUUCCAGUAAGUUCAUUUUGCUUGAAAGGCAGUUUUAUGAACAUGAUAGAUGGAAAUGAAUAUAUGUGGGUUUGCUUUCGGAUUAAAUGAAAAGCACUAUUUUUAGUGAAGAGGAAGUAAGGACCUGCAAUGGAUUUGAGCACAAGGUUUAUUGGGAGAGCAGACUGGCAGUUGGUGGGAAUUUUGCAGCCUGUAAGCAAACAUGGUUCUGAUCGGCUGCUCUGUACUCGAGUAUCUCUUUACUCCUGCACAAAAUUAUUAAAUUUCUUUAGAUUUGUGGCAAAGUAACAUUUACUGUAAAUGGCUAGAAAAAAGUGUUUGGUAAUUCAUGAUAAAGCUGUUUAAAGAAAAUGUGAAAUACAGAAUGUAAUAUACUCUGGAAUGUGAAAUAAAUGAACCCCAAUAAAUA